GUCUAUAGCCAUGUCACCCUGAACAUGCCCGAUCUCGGAAGCUAAGCAGGGUUGGGCCUGUUAGUACUUGGAUGGGAGACCAUGUAGAAAUAUCAGGUGCUGUAGGCA
rnacentral:rRNA from 1 species